rnacentral:lncRNA from 1 species
AAAGAAGGUUUGGACUUCAAGAGACCAUAAAUUAUGCAGAAGUGACUGGGAUAUAUGUGAAGGAACUAAUUGAAGGUCGUCAGAGGACACGUGCAAGCAUUUCUGUAGAAGAUAUACCUAAAUGGAAAAGUGCGGGUUCGUGGAUAAGCACAUUCAACAUUGUGAGUAGACAAUGACAAAUGAUCUUCUCAAGUAAGUGUACAAAUUACACUCUCUCCAGCCGUUCAUGGGCGUUCCCAUGCUCCAUCUCUUCACCAAUGCCUGGCAAGACAUUGGGAGGCAAUGAAAACCAGCAAUCAGCCUGCCAUGAAUUUGCCAUGGGACUACAUACUGUUGCAGAAACAACCAUAUAAAUUUGCUGAGGAAAGACAAAUUCGCAGCAGGCCGACUACAGCAGCCUGGCCCCCAUGUGUUAGUGGGACUCCAGGGAAAGGGACGCCUGAGGCAUGAGCACAGAAUAAGGAAGGUGCCAAGGAGUGGAAACUAAGGCAACAAGCAGGAUACAUCCAGCUGUGCUACCUGGGAGGAGUCCUCUCUUCUAUAAUCAAACUCAACAGAAACAGGCCCUUGCUUCUGGGACAUCAAACAUGAAGAGGCUCCUGUUCUGCAGAAAAUAAAUAAGGCGAUAUCAAAGAUUUGUAGAAAUUUUGAUUAAGACACUUUCUCAGUCUUUCCACAUAGCAGACACUGAACUACUGACAUGUGCUGUAGCUAGAAUUGAGCCUGUGGACUUUUAUCUUUGCCUUUGAAUUCUGUUAUAUUGACAUUAAUUUGGACACUCAAUAAAAAAUUAACAAAAUAGGGAUCCUUGCAUGAACCUAAUCUUUGACUCAGAAACCUCAUUUAUAUAAUAUUAUGUUUUUUCUGUCACCUCUUUCUUCAAGAAUGAGGCUCAUAUUCCUUGCAGAAAUUGAGAAAUCAAUAAUGCCUAAUCAAAAAUUAUUUUACUCUGGGGAAAUAUCAAGGCAAUGUUUCCUUGCCCAAUGAUAUCAUAGUACAUAUUACCAUAAUGAAAAGAAUGUCUGGUAAAAAAAAAAAAAAAAAAAGAAAAAACUACGCUUUGCCUUAUUCUUUCAACUAUUCAUUUAAGUCUGAAGAGUCAAUCAAUGAGUAACCAAACCUGAAAGUUAUGCAGAAGAAUUCAAAUGAUUAACAACAUUAGACCUACCAGGGCACACUUCCAGCCAAAGCCUCUUGGAUAAAAUGAUAGUAAAAAGUUAGUUAAAACUGUAAAGUAAUUUCAUGGAAAAUAAAAGCCUAUUUAGAAAAUGAAGAACUUGAGUAAUAUAAUUUCACUCAAUUUAUUAAUUUCUCUAAUUUCUGCUUUGUUUUGCUGGGGUUGCUUUUGCUGCCAGAUUCUUUUGUCUCUUUCUUAUGGUUGUCAUCUUCACACCCAAGGCUCUGUACCCAUGUAACAUAGCAAGCAGAUCUUUGAGGAAGAAAUUAUACCGUGUUUCUGAAAGCCCAAAGACACAUUUCAGGGUACAGUCAUGUUGAUCAACAAAAGUUCCCAUUAGUCUUGAUUACCUAACUAUUCCUAAAAAGUAUGCUCAUAAUUUUCCCCCCUAAAUUCAUCCAUUUACCUGCCACAGUCACUUGGUCUACAGAUCCAGUAUCAACUAGAAGAUAGAGCAUUAUGAUAAGGAAAAGACCCACGUUAUUACUGUAUGCGCAUAGCAUCUUAGUAGCCCCACUACUAACAAGUGUUAAACAAAAGCCACUAUCUUAGUGUUUUACCAUGACUCACACUAUGAAAACUACAACUUCAUUCAAGGGUGUCCUCAUAAUCAUGUUUUAGGUGACACUGAUUACAUGGUCCAUGUCAAAUGCCAAUGCUGUAUUCCUUAAUUGAUCUGAAGAUAAUUAACAUGAUGGAUUCAAUAACAUACCUCAUAGACAUAGAAAUGCUCAUUUUACUCUUAGUAGGCAUGAUGGAUAUCCCUAAGACCUAAAGCAUGAUGACGUUUCUCAGAUACUGAAUUGGACAUUGUCCAAUGAAGCAACCUAACCCAGCUGAAUCCAUCUGCUGUAUGUAAAGAUCUUCUUACAUAGCAUGUGAAUGCUGAUUUACCCCUUGGAAAACUCCUUAGAAAUUUCAAAAGAUUGAGUGGUUCAAGAGUCCUCCCUCUAGCCAAUGCCUGGUUUUAUCUGGUCAGCCAACCUUUCAC